rnacentral:rRNA from 1 species
UACGUAGGAGACGAGCGUUGUCCGGAGUUACUGGGCGUAAAGGGUGCGCAGGUGGCGGCGCGCGUGGGGGGUGAAAUCGCCCGGCUUAACUGGGCGGGGGCCUUCCAGACGGCGUGGCUUGAGCAGCGGAGGGGGACGUGGAAUUCCGGGUGGAGCGGUGAAAUGCGUAGAGAUCCGGAGGAACACCGACGGCGUAGGCAGCGCCCUGGACGACACCUGACGCUGAGGCACGAAAGCUGGGGGAGCGAACAGG